CCAUGCCGCGUGGGUGAUGUAAGGCCCUAGGGUUCGUAAAGCCCUUUCGGCGGGGAAGAUAAUGACGGUACCCGCAGAAGAAGCCCCGGCUAACUUCGUGC
rnacentral:rRNA from 1 species